UGCCAGCAGCCGCGGUAAUACGGAGGGUGCAAGCGUUAAUCGGAAUCACUGGGCGUAAAGCGCGCGUAGGCGGCUUGGUAAGUCAGAUGUGAAAGCCCCGGGCUCAACCUGGGAAUUGCAUUUGAUACUGCCAAACUAGAGUGUAGUAGAGGGAAGUGGAAUUCCGAGUGUAGCGGUGAAAUGCGUAGAUAUUCGGAGGAACAUCAGUGGCGAAGGCGACUUCCUGGACUAACACUGACGCUGAGGUGCGAAAGCGUGGGUAGCAAACAGGAUUAGAUA
rnacentral:rRNA from 1 species